CCAAUAAGGGGUCACGUUCUGAUGACCUUUGGGAUGUGUGUAUAUCACUUUCAGGACGAAUUGGCAUUUUUUCGAUGUCAUUGAAGCAAAACAUUUCGUCACAGCAUGCAUCUGAAGCAAACCAUUUCGGCACAGUAUAUAGCUGUAUGCUUUUUGGGACGAAAUGACUUGAAACAAAUUGACAGACUACACACUCUAAGUCAUGCUAAUUCUGACAUAUAAAAUUCACUUCCAAGAUUCUGGAAGUAGCCAUUUGAUUGGCUAAUCCAAAAGGUCACCCUGACGUGACCCCUUAUGGGAUGUUGUUAGAUGUUCAUGUAAUGUAGUGAGAAUGACCAUCUAGAUUUUAAUUAGAUUGAUAUGUUGUUGGCCAGUGCCUAGAGCUGGCCUAUAGGUUAUUAGACAGUGCCUAAAGCUGGCCUAUAUAGUGUUAGUCAUUGCCUAGAGCUGGCCUAUAUGUUGUUGGUCAUUGCCUAGAGCUGGCCUAUAUGUUAUUGGUCAGUGCCUAGAGCUGGCCUAUAGGUUGUUGGUCAUUGCCUAGAGCUGGCCUAUAUGUUAUUGGUCAGUGCCUAGAGCUGGCCUAUAGGUUGUUGGUCAUUGCCUAGAGCUGGCCUAUAUGUUAUUGGUCAGUACCUAGAGCUGGCCUAUAUGUUAUUGGUCAGUGCCUAGAGCUGGCCUAUAUGUUAUUGGUCAGUACCUAGAGCUGGCCUAUAUGUUGUUGGUCAUUGCCUAGAGCUGGCCUAUAUGUUGUUGGUCAUUGCCUAGAGCUGGCCUAUAUGUUAUUGGUCAGUACCUAGAGCUGGCCUAUAGGUUAUUGGUCAGCGCCUAGAGCUGGCCUAUAUGUUAUUGGUCAGUACCUAGAGCUGGCCUAUAUGUUGUUGGUCAUUGCCUAGAGCUGGCCUAUAUGUUAUUGGUCAGUACCUAGAGCUGGCCUAUAUGUUAUUGGUCAGUGCCUAGAGCUGGCCUAUAUGUUAUUGGUCAGUGCCUAGAGCUGGCCUAUAUGUUGUUGGUCAUUGCCUAGAGCUGGCCUAUAUGUUGUUGGUCAUUGCCUAGAACUGACCUAUAUCUUAUUGGUCAUUGCCUAGAACUGGCUGAUAUGUUGUUGGUCAGUGCCUAGUGCUGGCCUAGAUGUUGUACGUCAGUGCCUAGUGCUGGCCUACUGUAUAUAUGUUAUUGUUCAGUGCCUAGCGCUGGCCUACAAUUUGUUAGUCAGUGCCUAGCACUGGCCUACAUGUUGUUGGUCAUUGCCUAGAGCUGGUCUAUAUGUUGUUGUUCAGUGCCUAGAGCUGGCCUAUAUGUUGUCAAUCUAAUUAAAAUCUAGAUGGUCAUUCUCACUACGUUGCAUGAACAUCUAACAACAU